UACGUAGGGUGCGAGCGUUGUCCGGAAUUAUUGGGCGUAAAGAGCUUGUAGGCGGUUUGUCGCGUCUGCUGUGAAAAUCCGGGGCUCAACCCCGGACUUGCAGUGGGUACGGGCAGACUUAGAGUGUGGUAGGGGAGACUGGAAUUCCUGGUGUAGCGGUGAAAUGCGCAGAUAUCAGGAGGAACACCGAUGGCGAAGGCAGGUCUCUGGGCCACUACUGACGCUGAGAAGCGAAAGCAUGGGGAGCGAACAGG
rnacentral:rRNA from 1 species